AUACGUAGGGGGCAAGCGUUAUCCGGAUUUACUGGGUGUAAAGGGAGCGUAGACGGAAGGCCAAGUCUGAUGUGAAAGCCCGCGGCUCAACUGCGGGACUGCAUUGGAAACUGGUCAUCUGGAGUGCAGGAGGGGUAAGCGGAAUUCCUAGUGUAGCGGUGAAAUGCGUAGAGAUUGGGAGGAACACCAGUGGCGAAGGCGACUUACUGGACUGUAACUGACGCUGAGGCGCGAAAGUGUGGGGAGCAAACAGGAUUAGAUACCCUGGUAGUCCACACUGUAAACGAUGAAUGCUAGGUGUAGGGGGUAUCGACCCCUUCUGUGCCGCAGUCAACACAAUAAGCAUUCCGCCUGGGGAGUACGGCCGCAAGGUUGAAACUCAAAGGAAUUGACGGGG
rnacentral:rRNA from 1 species